GUAGUCCACGCCGUAAACGAUGAUUACUCGAAGUAUGCGAUAUGACAGUAUGCUUCCAAGCGAAAGUGAUAAGUAAUCCACCUGGGGAGUACGCCGGCAACGGUGAAACUCAAAGGAAUUGACGGGGGCCCGCACAAGCGGAGGAACAUGUGGUUUAAUUCGAUGAUACGCGAGGAACCUUACCCGGGAUUGAAAUGUAUGUGCGCCUCUUGGGAAACCGAGAGGGUUCUCUUCGGAGACACAUAUGUAGGUGCUGCAUGGUUGUCGUCAGCUCGUGCCGUGAGGUGUCGGCUUAAGUGCCAUAACGAGCGCAACCCUUAUCGUCAGUUACUAACAGGUUAAGCUGAGGACUCUGGCGAGACUGCCGUCGUAAGGCGAGA
rnacentral:rRNA from 1 species